GACGUAGGGCGCGAGCGUUGUCCGGAUUUAUUGGGCGUAAAGAGCUCGUAGGCGGCUUGUCGCGUCGUCCGUGAAAACUUGGGGCUCAACCCCAAGCUUGCGGUCGAUACGGGCAGGCUAGAGUUCGGUAGGGGAGACUGGAAUUCCUGGUGUAGCGGUGAAAUGCGCAGAUAUCAGGAGGAACACCGGAGGCGAAGGCGGGUCUCUAGUACGGUACUGACGCUGAGACGCGAAAGCGUGGGGAGCGAACAGG
rnacentral:rRNA from 1 species